rnacentral:rRNA from 1 species
CCUACGGGGGGCAGCAGUGGGGAAUAUUGGGCAAUGGGCGCGAGCCUGACCCAGCAACGCCGCGUGAAGGAAGAAGGCUUUCGGGUUGUAAACUUCUUUUCUCAGGGACGAAGGAAGUGACGGUACCUCAGGAAUAAGCCACGGCUAACUACGUGCCAGCAGCCGCGGUAAUACGUAGGUGGCGAGCGUUAUCCGGAUUUACUGGGUGUAAAGGGCGUGUGGGCGGGACUGCAAGUCAGAUGUGAAAACCAUGGGCUCAACCCGUAGCCUGCAUUUGAAACUGUAGUUCUUGAGUGCUGGAGAGGCAGACGGAAUUCCGAGUGUAGCGGUGAAAUGCGUAGAUAUUCGGAGGAACACCAGUGGCGAAGGCGGUCUGCUGGACAGUAACUGACGCUGAGGCGCGAAAGCGUGGGGAGCAAACAGGAUUAGAUACCCGAGUAGUC